UACGGGGGGUGCGAGCGUUGUCCGGAAUCACUGGGCGUAAAGGGCGCGUAGGCGGUUUGAUAAGGGUGUGGUGAAAGUCCGGGGCUCAACCCCGGAUCUGCCGUGCCGACUGUCAAACUCGAGGACUGUAGAGGCAGACGGAAUUCCGGGUGUAGCGGUGGAAUGCGUAGAGAUCCGGAGGAAGACCGGUGGCGAAGGCGGUCUGCUGGGCAGUUUCUGACACUGAGGCGCGACAGCGUGGGGAGCAAACAGG
rnacentral:rRNA from 1 species